ensembl:lncRNA
CAGCAACCCCAGCACCGUGCGCGGAGCCUCGGAGCACCGCGGGAGGGAAGAGCGUCCACCGCAAAGACAAAACCGAACCAGUAGAGAGAUAAUUUUGUAAAACGCGUCCUCGUAGUGGUUUUAUACGCUUUCUUUUGUGUUGUUUCUGUCUUUUUUUCUCUGUCGUCUGGAGGAGCGAGCGACCGAGAGACAGAGCUUCACUGCGGCUAAUCAAUUCGCGUUUCCAGACGUGGGAAUUAAAAUGAAAAAUGUAGGCGACACAUUUCCCCUCACCGUCCAGGAAUCACAGAAGGAGCCCGGCGAAUAGAGAAAGGAAGCAGGGGGGGAAAUGGUGCUGCAUCUAUAGGAUCCUCUCUGUGGAGCCCCUGCGUAAAAGGAAAAACAGUGUGAAAACUGGUGAACGAGUGGAUGUGAAGCUGUGAGAGGAAGACUCCAAGAAGCAGAAUAAAAGUGGAGGUUUCUCGGAGAACCUUCAGCUGCUUUCAAAGCCGAGGCUCCUCAUUAACUGUUCCUCCUGCUUUUCCACUGUAUUUAGUUUUAUUUUGGACAUACUGGGGAUCACGGUUGCUGACCUCAUCCCCUCUGCUUUUGUUGUUUUUAUUCCAAGCAAGACCAAAACCAGGUGCCAAACUGACUGUCAAGAGAAGAAGCAAAAAACUUGCACAUCUCCAAUUCAUCGUAUAAAGAGUUUAACUUUUAAUACCUGAUUUAGUAACUAACACACAGCGUUACUUUUCUCCCUCACAUUACAACACCUUACAUUAAAAUCACGUUUAAUAGUUUAUAUCCAUCGUCUCCAGUCAGUGUUUGCUGCUCUUAGUGCUAAAACUGCGUGACGUUUUUC